CCUAACACAUGCAAGUCGAACGGUAACAGGAAGAAGCUUGCUUCUUUGCUGACGAGUGGCGGACGGGUGAGUAAUGUCUGGGAAACUGCCUGAUGGAGGGGGAUAACUACUGGAAACGGUAGCUAAUACCGCAUAACGUCGCAAGACCAAAGAGGGGGACCUUCGGGCCUCUUGCCAUCGGAUGUGCCCAGAUGGGAUUAGCUAGUAGGUGGGGUAACGGCUCACCUAGGCGACGAUCCCUAGCUGGUCUGAGAGGAUGACCAGCCACACUGGAACUGAGACACGGUCCAGACUCCUACGGGAGGCAGCAGUGGGGAAUAUUGCACAAU
rnacentral:rRNA from 1 species